UACGUAGGUGGCAAGCGUUGUCCGGAUUUACUGGGCGUAAAGAGCGCGCAGGCGGUCGUUCAAGUCGCGUGUGAAAGCCCCCGGCUCAACUGGGGAGGGUCACGCGAUACUGAUCGACUCGAAGGCAGGAGAGGGUAGUGGAAUUCCCGGUGUAGUGGUGAAAUGCGUAGAUAUCAGGAGGAACACCGGUGGCGAAGGCGGUUCUCUGGGCCUUACCUGACGCUGAGGAGCGAAAGCGUGGGGAGCGAACAGG
rnacentral:rRNA from 1 species